rnacentral:rRNA from 1 species
GAUGAACGCUGGCGGCGUGCCUAAUACAUGCAAGUCGAGCGAAAGGAUUAAGAGCUUGCUCUUAUGAAGUUAGCGGCGGACGGGUGAGUAACACAUGGGUAACCUGCCCAUAAGACUGGGAUAACUCCGGGAAACCGGGGCUAAUACCGGAUAACAUUUUGAACCGCAUGGUUCGAAAUUGAAAGGCGGCUUCGGCUGUCACUUAUGGAUGGACCCGCGUCGCAUUAGCUAGUUGGUGAGGUAACGGCUCACCAAGGCAACGAUGCGUAGCCGACCUGAGAGGGUGAUCGGCCACACUGGGACUGAGACACGGCACAGACUCCUACGGGAGGCAGCAGUAGGGAAUCUUCCGCAAUGGACGAAAGUCUGACGGAGCAACGCCGUGUGAGUGAUGAAGGCUUUCGGGUCGUAAAACUCUGUUGUUAGGGAAGAACAAGUGCUAGUUGAAUAAGCUGGCACCUUGACGGUACCUAACCAGAAAGCCACGGCUAACUACGUGCCAGCCGCCGCGGUAA